UUCCAGCCAUGUGGGAGGCGCAGCGCACAGCUCAGUAACACGUGGCUAACCUGCCCUUAGGACGAGGCUAACCCCGGGAAACUGGGGAUAAUCCUCGAUAGGUGAAGAACUCUGGAAUGAGUCUUUGCUUAAAAGGCGUUGGAUCAUGCUUUCAGCGCCGCCUAAGGAUGGGGCCGCGACCGAUCAGGUUGUUGGUGAGGUAAUGGCCCACCAAGCCUUUUACCGGUGCGGGCCGUGAGAGCGGGAGCCCGGAGAUGGGCACUGAGACAAGGGCCCAGGUCCUACGGGGCGCAGCAGUCGCGAAAACUUUGCAAUACACGAAAGUGUGACAGGGUCAUCCCGAGUGCCGACCGCUGAGGUUGGCUUUUACCCAGUCUAGAAAGCUGGGGGAAUAAGGAGAGGGCAAGUCUGGUGUCAGCCGCCGCGGUAAUACCAGCUCUCCGAGUGGUGUGGACGUUUAUUGGGCCUAAAGCAUCCGUAGCUGGCUGAACAAGUCCCCUGUUAAACCCACCGAUUUAAUCGUUGGUCUGCGGGGGAUACUGCUCGGCUAGGGGACGAGAGAGGCAGACGGUAUUCCCGGGGUAGGGGUGAAAUCCUAUAAUCCCGAGAAGACCACCAGUGGCGAAGGCUGUCUGCUAGAACGCGCCCGACGGUGAGGGAUGAAAGCUGGGGGAGCGAACCGGAUUAGAUACCCGGGUAGUCCCAGCUGUAAACGAUGCAGACUAGGUGUUUGGACGGCCACGUGCCGUUCUAGUGCCGCAGGGAAGCUGUUAAGUCUGCCGCCUGGGGAGUACGAUCGCAAGAUUGAAACUUAA
rnacentral:rRNA from 1 species